rnacentral:misc_RNA from 1 species
CGCAUAUUGCGCCCUUUGGUAUUCCGAAGGGCAUGCCUGUUCGAGCGUCAUUAUCACCCCUCAAGCCAGGCUUGCUGUUGGAUCGGGUCCGUUAAACCGGACCGCUCCCAAAGAUAAUGACGGCGUCUGCGAGGACUCCAGUACACUGAGCUUUCGGGCACGUACUCGGCUAGAAAUCCGGACCCGGUCUUCGUCCUUUGCGGGACACUUCUUUCAAGGUUGACCUCGGAUCAGGUAGGAAUACCCGCUGAACUUAA